rnacentral:rRNA from 1 species
AUACGGAGGAUCCAAGCGUUAUCCGGAAUCAUUGGGUUUAAAGGGUCCGUAGGUGGAUAAUUAAGUCAGAGGUGAAAUCCUGCAGCUCAACUGUAGAAUUGCCUUUGAAACUGGUUAUCUUGAGUCAUUAUGAAGUGGUUAGAAUGUGUAGUGUAGCGGUGAAAUGCAUAGAUAUUACACAGAAUACCGAUUGCGAAGGCAGAUCACUAAUAAUGUACUGACACUGAUGGACGAAAGCGUGGGUAGCGAACAGGAUUAGAAACCCCAGUAGUCC